GCAAAAUAAAGAAAUUUGUUUAUUUAUCACGGAAAUAAAAACCAAAAAAAAUCGAGAGGAAAAAACCCCCAAAAGUCCUCUUUCCGUUCUCCUUCUCUCUUCUUCAAUAUUAGUUUUCGGCUAGGGUUUCUUCUUCAGUUUCAUUGUACAGGGAAUAUCAGUUACGGUUCUUCUUUUUUUACGGCAUCAUAUUGUUGGUUAUAAUUGGAGGGAAGCAUAUUCUCCUUUGUUGAUUUUAGGUUCUUCUUUUUACGGUUUGAUAUUGUGAAUUAUAACAAUGUUUAUUCUUUCAUCUAUAUGACUUCAGUCAGAUCCCUAACCAGGUUUGAAGGUUCCAUUAAUAGCGGUGGUGAAGGUUGCAGGUAGGGUUUAAGGUUUGGUUUUUAGGGUUUAAAGCUUAGGACCAAUUUGGUUCAAUUUAAUGACUGUGAAUCACCGAAGUUCCAUCUUUUUCAUUGAAAACUCAGUAUAACCUAAAAUCAUUAUUCAAGAAUUUGGAUCUGUAGGGUUUCACAAACUUUUCUUGAAGUAAUGAAGUAGAUUAUUCAAGAAUUUGGAUCUGUGUAUGCCUAUGAGUAGUCAGAGAGAAAGAGAGAAUGAUUUGAUUGGUAAGAUAAAUCAGUAGUUUCGUUUUAUUUUCAGUUUACUUUUGAGAAAAGUUAAUGAUUUUCCUGUUCUUCAUAUGCUAAUUUGGCUUAAUAGGGUUCUUAUGUUAUAACAGGUUUGAAGUUUGGGGUUUUGAUUUUUAUGAAAUUAUUGUGUUUUGGAUAGUUGAAGAACGGAUUUUGUUGAAGAAUUGAAACUUUAUUAGAGAGAGAGCUGGAUUGAGCUAAAGUCAGGGAAGAUUGUGUUGUAGCUGUGGUUUCUAAGGGAUAAGUGGUUGAAUACCCUAUUACAUCGUCUCUUAGCUACAAUUUGUGACUUAACUAUUAAUCUAUUAUUGUUUAUUUUGUCUCCUAUGCUGUAGACUUAUGUAAAAAUAACUCAAAUUAUCCCGAUUCUACAAAUGCCAAUGCAUUCUGGCGACGACAUGGUUGAUGAUUUGGAUCUCAAUGGUACAACGACGUCAACUCUAUACAGCCCUGCCUUUGAUCUGUUGUUUGGCCAAUCCUGAAGACGUUUUGAUCGUUGAAGAUGAAAAUGGAAAUACUGUGCUCUCAAAUCUUCCGAAGAUGGUACCUCUCCUCCUUCCGCAUGAUGUCUUAUAGAAACAUUUGCAAGGAUUUGGCAUCAAGUUAGGAUAGAAGAUAUGACAUCCAUCGAAGCUAAUGAAGGAAGAAUAAACAGAAUAUUAGGAAUGAGUUGCGGAUCUGCAGUAACGCGUCCGGCUAGCAAAACUUGACACUCUAAAAAGAUCAAUGCGUGUGUGAGGCGAAUUCGAGCCACACCAAAUUAAAAUUCCUAAGCAUGGAUCGGGACGGGGCGAGGCGAAAUCGAGCAAGCAUGUAUUGGAACGGGCGAGGUGAAGCCGAACCACACCAAAUAAAAAAUCCUAAGUAUCAAGGUGGCACGACACCCCACGGCACCAAAUGAAAAUGAUCGAUGGGGGAGGCUAUGUGCCACAUCGGUUAAAAGGGUAAAAAAAAAGAUGAUGAUGGAUGGUUUUCGGGUCCGCUAAGCCAAGCAUGCAUCGAGACGGGGAGAAGUUGAGCCAAGCAUGCAUCGAGACGGGGCGAAGCUGAGUCAAGCCAUACCAAAUCAAAUGUCCUAAACAUGCAUCGGGGCGAGGCGAACCCGAGCAACAUCAAAUCAAAAAAAUCCUAAGCACGGUGCGUAGGAUGGUUUCGAGUCUGCCUAGUGCGUAGCACGGGCACAAAAUCUAGUGUAACAUGAAAGCCGUUUCAUGCCCAACCUUGUUUGCAUAUUUCAAGUAUGCGCAUUGGUGAUAAAAGAAGACUAACAGUUCCACCAUCUUUGGGAUAUGCCUCUACAGGGUCAGUCCGAUAUGGUGUACCACCAGACGCAUGGCUGGUUUUUGAAAUCGAAGUAGUUGCUAUCACCGAAUGAUAAUGCUUGAAUCCAUUUCUAUGUGCCCGUAUUCGACUUCGGACAAAGGAAGUAGAUUGAUCUUGGCACUAAAGAUAUAACGUCAGAUCGCUUUUUGGGAAGUUAGAUCAAAAGAAGGUUGCAGAAACCUGUUUUCUUUUUAAUUGUUGAUUAGUUUGUUCUCCUAAAAUUUAAUCCUUCUAUUUGCAUACUUUAUUUC